rnacentral:rRNA from 1 species
GAUGAACGCUGGCGGCGUGCCUAAUACAUGCAAGUCGAGCGAACAGACGAGGAGCUUGCUCCUCUGACGUUAGCGGCGGACGGGUGAGUAACACGUGGAUAACCUACCUAUAAGACUGGGAUAACUUCGGGAAACCGGAGCUAAUACCGGAUAAUAUAUUGAACCGCAUGGUUCAAUAGUGAAAGACGGUUUUGCUGUCACUUAUAGAUGGAUCCGCGCCGCAUUAGCUAGUUGGUAAGGUAACGGCUUACCAAGGCGACGAUGCGUAGCCGACCUGAGAGGGUGAUCGGCCACGCUGGAACUGAGACACGGUCCAGACUCCUACGGGAGGCAGCAGUAGGGAAUCUUCCGCAAUGGGCGAAAGCCUGACGGAGCAACGCCGCGUGAGUGAUGAAGGUCUUCGGAUCGUAAAACGCUGUUAUUAGGGAAGAACAAAUGUGUAAGUAACUAUGCACGUCUUGACGGUACCUAAUCAGAAAGCCACGGCUAACUACGU